GCCUACGGGGCGCAGCAGUAGGGAAUCUUCCACAAUGGACGAAAGUCUGAUGGAGCAACGCCGCGUGAGUGAAGAAGGGUUUCGGCUCGUAAAGCUCUGUUGGUAGUGAAGAAAGAUAGAGGUAGUAACUGGCCUUUAUUUGACGGUAAUUACUUAGAAAGUCACGGCUAACUACGUGCCAGCAGCCGCGGUAAUACGGAGGUGGCAAGCGUUGUCCGGAUUUAUUGGGCGUAAAGCGAGCGCAGGCGGGUUCUUAGGG
rnacentral:rRNA from 1 species